GGUGCACCUGUACAAUCUCAGCACUUGGGAGACUGAGGCAGGAAGGUAGCAAGUUCAAAGUUAGCCUAAACUAUUAGUACAAACUGAGUUCAAGGUUAAGGCUAUCUUUGGCUAUAUAGAAAGGCCUUGUCUCCAGUAAUAAGUCAGUAAGUAAAUAGAGUUGAAAACCAAAGGAAGGGGCUCCUAGAGAUGUGUUGCAGGUAGGUGUUUGCCAGGAGCUAUGGGUACGUAGAGGGGAGGCACUACUCGGAAGGGGUGUGGUGAAAGGCACAGGUGUGCAAGAGCAUGGCAGCUGUACGUCAUGGACGCAUAACUGUGGCACCUUCCUUCAGAUGGCUAAGGUUGUAUCCUGUGUAUUUUGCCUCCAAAAGGAAACAAGGAAACUCAGAACAGCCUUCCAAGGAGCUGGGCCCGUUCCACCUCUCUGUCUGAGCUGCGUGGUUAAACACAUGCAGAGGUGUCCUCACAUAUAGAUGGAAAGCCGCGAUGGUGCAUGCUCACAGAGAAGUGUCCUCACAUAGAUGGAAAGCCGUGAUGGUGCAUGCUCAGAGAGGUGUCCUUACAUAGAUGGAAAGCCGCGAUGGUGCAUGCUCACAGAGAAGUGUCCUCACAUAGAUGGAAAGCCGCGAUGGUGCAUGCUCACAGAGAGGUGUCCUUACAUAUAGAUGGAAAGCUGCGAUGGUGCAUGCUCAGAGAGAAGUGUCCUCACAUAUAGAUGGAAAGCCGCGAUGGUGCAUGCUCACAGAGACAUUGGUUAGCAUUUUAUAAAACACAGGAAGGCACCAAGGAACAAGCCUCGUGACCAGGGUUAGACCUGGACAUUCAUAUCCUUCCAAUAUUUCUCCAUGUUUAUAUAAUUUCCCUUAGUCUCUGGAACAAAGCACUGACAGCGUUAAAGGUGAGAGGACAGACCUCCCCCAUCUAGGGAACCACAGAGGUGGAACAGGCGGUGGUGGCUAUAGAAUGGUGUAGACGGAUGGGUAUAUACAUGGGCAGGUGUGUACAUUUGCAUAUGGGACAGCUUUAUGUGCUUGAGGCCUGCAGGCCGGUGUCAGGGUGUUUACAGGUGACUACAGUAGAAAAGCACACCCGGGACCUGCACUGUAUGCUGGACCCUGCAAACCUGGAAGGUGCCCUCUGGCGGCAGUACUCACGGGCCAGUCAUCAUCUCUACGGGCCUGUCGCAGGAGAUGCACUUUACCCUCUCGAACAAUUUCCUGGAGGACAAGGAGGUCAGUGGCCAGGGGUUAACAGGGCCCUG
rnacentral:lncRNA from 1 species